rnacentral:rRNA from 1 species
GACGAACGCUGGCGGCGUGCUUAACACAUGCAAGUCGAACGAAGUGGCGAACGGGUGAGUAACGCGUAAUCAACCUGCCCUUCAGAGGGGGACAACAGUUGGAAACGACUGCUAAUACCGCAUACUGAAGGAGGGGAUUGCGUUUGAUUAGCUAGUUGGAGGGGUAACGGCCUACCAAGGCGAUGAUCAGUAGGCGGUCUGGGAAGAUGGACGGGCACAUUGGGACUUGGACACGGCCCAAGAUCCUACGGGAGGCAACAGGGGGGAAACUUCCGCAAUGGACGGAAGUCUGACGGAGCAAAGCCGGGUGAGUGAUGACGGCCUUCGGGUUGUAAAGCUCUGUUAAGCGGGACGCGGUACCGGAAUAGAAAGCCACGGCUAACUACGUGCCAGCAGCCGCGGUAAUAC